AUAAUUAAUUUCCACUAAAAAAGAUUUUAUACAAAUUUUUUAUAUUUUAAAUAACAAGAAUAUUUUAAUGUAAUUGACAAGAAUCUUUAAUACUUUGUUAUUGACAAGUAAAAGCUAUUGCUGACUCGGAAAAGACUAAAGGAUGGAAAAGAAAAGACAAAAGGAUAAUAAUCAUAUAGUAAUAAAAAACAAUUCAAAAGGUGAGAGGCUAAAUGGAGCAUA
rnacentral:lncRNA from 1 species